UACGUAGGCAGCGAGCGUUGUUCGGAGUUACUGGGCGUAAAGGGUGUGUAGGCGGUUCUUUAAGUUUGGUGUGAAAUCUCCCGGCUCAACCGGGAGGGUGCGCCGAAUACUGAGGGACUUCGAGUGCGGGAGAGGAAAGUGGAAUUCCUGGUGUAGCGGUGAAAUGCGUAGAUAUCAGGAGGAACACCGGUGGUGUAGACGGCUUUCUGGACCGUAACUGACGCUGAAACACGAAAGCGUGGGGAGCAAACAGG
rnacentral:rRNA from 1 species